rnacentral:lncRNA from 1 species
AAGAAACUGUAUGCAUUGAACAUAUUCAGUCAACAUAACACUUGAUUCAACAAAAAAGGGUACAAACAUGAAACAUUGUUCGCCCAGGCAACUAUGCAUUGAACAUAUUCAGCGAACACAAUACUUGAUUCAGCAACAAAAGGGUACAACAUGAAACAUAAGACUAUACAGAAUUGUCAAUCCACUUUAACAUUAUACUCCUUCUCCUGUAUCUACAGCUACAUGCUUUGGUUAGGAGAGAUCGCGAUUGUCUUCAGGCUCUCUUUGGUAGUGGACCUCUAC